UACGGAGGGUGCGAGCGUUGUCCGGAAUCACUGGGCGUAAAGGGCGCGUAGGCGGCCUGAUAAGUAGGGGGUGAAAUCUUGCGGCUUAACCGCAAGGCUGCCUUCUAAACUGUCAGGCUAGAGCACAGUAGAGGCAGGUGGAAUUCCCGGUGUAGCGGUGGAAUGCGUAGAGAUCGGGAAGAACAUCAGUGGCGAAGGCGGCCUGCUGGGCUGUGCUGACGCUGAGGCGCGACAGCGUGGGGAGCAAACAGG
rnacentral:rRNA from 1 species